GGCGAAGGGACACAUAACCGUGAUCGUCGCUCGAUGAUCCGGUGCUUGCACCGGGGAUUAGUGGCGAACGGGUGAGUAACACGUGAGUAACCUGCCCUUAACUCUGGGAUAAGCCUGGGAAACUGGGUCUAAUACCGGAUAUGACUGAUCAUCGCAUGGUGGUUGGUGGAAAGCUUUUUGUGGUUUUGGAUGGACUCGCGGCCUAUCAGCUUGUUGGUGAGGUAAUGGCUUACCAAGGCGACGACGGGUAGCCGGCCUGAGAGGGUGACCGGCCACACUGGGACUGAGACACGGCCCAGACUCCUACGGGAGGCAGCAGUGGGGAAUAUUGCACAAUGGGCGCAAGCCUGAUGCAGCGACGCCGCGUGAGGGAUGACGGCCUUCGGGUUGUAAACCUCUUUCAGUAGGGAAGAAGCGAAAGUGACGGUACCUGCAGAAGAAGCGCCGGCUAACUACGUGCCAGCAGCCGCGGUAAUACGUAGGGCGCAAGCGUUAUCCGGAAUUAUUGGGCGUAAAGAGCUCGUAGGCGGUUUGUCGCGUCUGCCGUGAAAGUCCGGGGCUCAACUCCGGAUCUGCGGUGGGUACGGGCAGACUAGAGUGAUGUAGGGGAGACUGGAAUUCCUGGUGUAGCGGUGAAAUGCGCAGAUAUCAGGAGGAACACCGAUGGCGAAGGCAGGUCUCUGGGCAUUAACUGACGCUGAGGAGCGAAAGCAUGGGGAGCGAACAGGAUUAGAUACCCUGGUAGUCCAUGCCGUAAACGUUGGGCACUAGGUGUGGGGGACAUUCCACGUUUUCCGCGCCGUAGCUAACGCAUUAAGUGCCCCGCCUGGGGAGUACGGCCGCAAGGCUAAAACUCAAAGGAAUUGACGGGGGCCCGCACAAGCGGCGGAGCAUGCGGAUUAAUUCGAUGCAACGCGAAGAACCUUACCAAGGCUUGACAUGAACCGGAAAGACCUGGAAACAGGUGCCCCGCUUGCGGUCGGUUUACAGGUGGUGCAUGGUUGUCGUCAGCUCGUGUCGUGAGAUGUUGGGUUAAGUCCCGCAACGAGCGCAACCCUCGUUCUAUGUUGCCAGCACGUGAUGGUGGGGACUCAUAGGAGACUGCCGGGGUCAACUCGGAGGAAGGUGGGGACGACGUCAAAUCAUCAUGCCCCUUAUGUCUUGGGCUUCACGCAUGCUACAAUGGCCGGUACAAAGGGUUGCGAUACUGUGAGGUGGAGCUAAUCCCAAAAAGCCGGUCUCAGUUCGGAUUGGGGUCUGCAACUCGACCCCAUGAAGUCGGAGUCGCUAGUAAUCGCAGAUCAGCAACGCUGCGGUGAAUACGUUCCCGGGCCUUGUACACACCGCCCGUCAAGUCACGAAAGUUGGUAACACCUCGAAGCCGGUGGCCUAACCCCUAGUGGGAGGGAGCUGUCUAUAGAUGUCUCG
rnacentral:rRNA from 1 species